rnacentral:rRNA from 1 species
CCUACGGGAGGCAGCAGUGAGGAAUAUUGGUCAAUGGGCGGGAGCCUGAACCAGCCAAGCCGCGUGAGGGAAGAAGGUACAGCGUAUCGUAAACCUCUUUUGUCAGGGAACAAAGGCGGGGACUAGUCCCCGGAUGAGGGUACCUGAAGAAAAAGCAUCGGCUAACUCCGUGCCAGCAGCCGCGGUAAUACGGAGGAUGCGAGCGUUAUCCGGAUUUAUUGGGUUUAAAGGGUGCGCAGGCGGCCUGUUAAGUCAGCGGGAAAAGCCCGGGGCUCAACCCCGGCGAGCGGUUGAAACUGGCGGGCUGGAGUUGGAGAGAAGUACGCGGAAUGCGCGGUGUAGCGGUGAAAUGCUUAGAGAUCGCGCAGAACCCCGAUUGCGAAGGCAGCGUACCGGCUCCACACUGACGCUGAGGCACGAAAGCGUGGGUAUCGAACAGGAUUAGAUACCCGGGUAGUC